UACGUAGGUGGCAAGCGUUAUCCGGAAUUAUUGGGCGUAAAGCGCGCGCAGGCGGUUUAUUAAGUCUGAUGUGAAAGCCCCCGGCUCAACCGGGGAGGGUCAUUGGAAACUGGUUAACUUGAGUGCAGAAGAGAAGAGUGGAAUUCCACGUGUAGCGGUGAAAUGCGUAGAGAUGUGGAGGAACACCAGUGGCGAAGGCGACUCUUUGGUCUGUAACUGACGCUGAGGCGCGAAAGCGUGGGGAGCAAACAGG
rnacentral:rRNA from 1 species